UACGUAGGGCGCAAGCGUUGUCCGGAAUUAUUGGGCGUAAAGAGCUCGUAGGCGGUUUGUCGCGUCUGCUGUGAAAUCCCGAGGCUCAACCUCGGGCCUGCAGUGGGUACGGGCAGACUGGAGUGCGGUAGGGGAGAAUGGAACUCCUGGUGUAGCGGUGGAAUGCGCAGAUAUCGGAAGGAACACCAGUGGCGAAAGCGGCUUCCUGGUCCGACACCGACGUUCAGGCACGAAAGCGUGGGGAGCAAACAGG
rnacentral:rRNA from 1 species